UGGUCUGAGAGGACGACCAGCCACACUGGGACUGAGACACGGCCCAGACUCCUACGGGAGGCAGCAGUGGGGAAUUUUGGACAAUGGGCGCAAGCCUGAUCCAGCAAUGCCGCGUGCAGGAUGAAGGCCUUCGGGUUGUAACCUGCUUUUGUACGGAACGAAACGGCGAGCUCUAAUACAGCUUGCUAAUGACGGUACCGUAAGAAUAAGCACCGGCUAACUACGUGCCAGCAGCCGCGGUAAUACGUAGGGUGCGAGCGUUAAUCGGAAUUACUGGGCGUAAAGCGUGCGCAGGCGGUGAUGUAAGACAGAUGUGAAAUCCCCGGGCUCAACCUGGGACCUGCAUUUGUGACUGCAUCGCUAGAGUACGGUAGAGGGGGAUGGAAUUCCGCGUGUAGCAGUGAAAUGCGUAUAUAUGCGGAGGAACACCGAUGGCGA
rnacentral:rRNA from 1 species